GACGAACGCUGGCGGCGUGCUUAACACAUGCAAGUCGAACGGAAAGGCCCUGCUUUUGUGGGGUGCUCGAGUGGCGAACGGGUGAGUAACACGUGAGUAACCUGCCCUUGACUUUGGGAUAACUUCAGGAAACUGGGGCUAAUACCGGAUAGGAGCUCCUGCUGCAUGGUGGGGGUCGGAAAGUUUCGGCGGUUGGGGAUGGACUCGCGGCUUAUCAGCUUGUUGGUGGGGUAGUGGCUUACCAAGGCUUUGACGGGUAGCCGGCCUGAGAGGGUGACCGGCCACAUUGGGACUGAGAUACGGCCCAGACUCCUACGGGAGGCAGCAGUGGGGAAUAUUGCACAAUGGGCGGAAGCCUGAUGCAGCAACGCCGCGUGCGGGAUGACGGCCUUCGGGUUGUAAACCGCUUUCGCCUGUGACGAAGCGUGAGUGACGGUAAUGGGUAAAGAAGCACCGGCUAACUACGUGCCAGCAGCCGCGGUGAUACGUAGGGUGCGAGCGUUGUCCGGAUUUAUUGGGCGUAAAGGGCUCGUAGGUGGUUGAUCGCGUCGGAAGUGUAAUCUUGGGGCUUAACCCUGAGCGUGCUUUCGAUACGGGUUGACUUGAGGAAGGUAGGGGAGAAUGGAAUUCCUGGUGGAGCGGUGGAAUGCGCAGAUAUCAGGAGGAACACCAGUGGCGAAGGCGGUUCUCUGGGCCUUUCCUGACGCUGAGGAGCGAAAGCGUGGGGAGCGAACAGGCUUAGAUACCCUGGUAGUCCACGCUGUAAACGGUGGGUACUAGGUGUGGGGUCCAUUCCACGGGUUCCGUGCCGUAGCUAACGCUUUAAGUACCCCGCCUGGGGAGUACGGCCGCAAGGCUAAAACUCAAAGGAAUUGACGGGGCCCCGCACAAGCGGCGGAGCAUGCGGAUUAAUUCGAUGCAACGCGUAGAACCUUACCUGGGUUUGACAUGGGUCGGGAGUGCUCAGAGAUGGGUGUGCCUCCUUUGGGGUCGGUUCACAGGUGGUGCAUGGCUGUCGUCAGCUCGUGUCGUGAGAUGUUGGGUUAAGUCCCGCAACGAGCGCAACCCUUGUUCACUGUUGCCAGCACGUUAUGGUGGGGACUCAGUGGAGACCGCCGGGGUCAACUCGGAGGAAGGUGGGGAUGACGUCAAGUCAUCAUGCCCCUUAUGUCCAGGGCUUCACGCAUGCUACAAUGGCUGGUACAGAGAGUGGCGAGCCUGUGAGGGUGAGCGAAUCUCGGAAAGCCGGUCUCAGUUCGGAUUGGGGUCUGCAACUCGACCUCAUGAAGUCGGAGUCGCUAGUAAUCGCAGAUCAGCAACGCUGCGGUGAAUACGUUCCCGGG
rnacentral:rRNA from 1 species